GUGCAGGGUGUUGCGACUCGUGGACUAAAAGAUCGAACCGCGGUGGCACAUUAGAGUUGGACCGGAUUCGUAAGUCCAUGAGUGUUCUUGUCCGUGAGCCAGAUGGGCAUAACCGAUUGCUUGUCAAGUGAUCAUUUUCUGCCUGAUAAUGCUAUUGAUUUAAUCGAUGAACCCGGUUCUCGUGUUAGACUUCGUCAUGCACAACUCCCAGAAGAAGCUAGAGAGCUCGAGAAAGAACUCAGGCAGAUAACAAAAGAAAAGAACGAAUGUGGCCAAGAUUUCUAAAAGGAAAUCAGAGAGAGAGGACCAUCUAUGCAGCCUGCACUCUUUCACCAUUUUUAGCCACCGAAGAAGAUUCAGAAAUGUGUGUUCAGUUGUUCUGCGGAAAGCAAUUCCAAUAAGUCUCGGUUUUUUAAUAAUAUACAAAUUCAAAUGAACAAACCUUUGACUUGACUUUGGAAUAACUUUGACUGCAACAAGAGUGACCAUAAAAACCGAGCUUUUUAUAUUGAGAAAUUACGGUAAAAAAGAUAAUGAUGAUGAUAAAACGUCAAUAAUUAUCCUAAUAUUCAAACUACUGACAGAAUAACGACUAAUAGACAAAACUUAAAUAAAUAAAAAUCAAAUAAUCAUAACUAUAAUAGAUAAUAACAGCAGUACCUUAAAAAUGAUGUCAAAUGCAGCCAUGAAAAACAAUAGCAAAAAUCUGAAAGCCAUGAAUUGCAUAUAAAAGUCCUAAUAAGACUUGGGCAGUAUUUAUAGAAUUUUGUAAUAUGAUAUGAUCAGCCAAUAUUUCUACGUUUAUCUAUUUGAUGGCAAAAGAAACUAUCCCUAUUUAUCAUAUGAAUUUGACAUUACUAUCCACCCUCACUUUUAGUAGUAGAAAAAACUUGGUGUGCACAAUAGUAUGGGAUAUACCGUAAUAAAGGCAGAAAGUGCAGAUAGCUCUCUAGUAACCACCACUUAGUGUAUGGUAUGCAUGAUAUGUGCUAAUGUAUUAUUUAUCUCAUAAUUCACAUGCUCUAAUAGUAGAAAUAAAUAGUAAGUUGUGGUAAUUGGUGCAAUGAAAACAAAAUGAUUAAAGGGUUUACCGUUGAUCUUAAUAGUCUUGAAAUGCUCCCCUGUAUUUAUCAUACAGCUGUUGAGAAUAGUCAUGGAGAGGCUUUUGAGUGCACCUGUUAUAGAUAGUGUUGUACAAGAGAAUAAAGCAAGUUAGAACUUUUGAUGAUUAACUGUGAGUCUCCUAAAUAGAAAAAAUAAUCAAAUAUGAAGAUACGUGUAUAGCAUCAUGUAUUCUUCAGAUGUAAA